CUGUCAGUCAUUCCAUACAAGCUGACUUAACGCUCAGUCAAUUUCCAUCCAUUAGGCCCAUCAUGCUGUCAAAAGACUAAAACUAAUGUUUGAAUCUCACAUAUGGAAUACACAUCUCCAGAGUUAAGGACUUUUCUGAAUCUCACAAUUUUGGUGGUGUAACCUGCAACAUUAUGUUUACUGUUAUAGCUGUUUCUACUUCUGUCUAAAAGAUAACCCAGCUGAGAGAUAGAGUUUCAGUGACAUGAAGAGUGUGAUGUGAAUAAUGAUGUGUGUAUGCAUACAUGUUACAGUUCUGCUUGAUGCCUUACUAAAUUCAUCACCUGUAUGAUAAAGCAUCAGGAAAUCUCAACAUGUGGAGUAAUGCUGUUGGUUUCUGUGAUU
rnacentral:lncRNA from 1 species